CCUACGGGUGGCAGCAGUGAGGAAUAUUGGUCAAUGGUCGGGAGCCUGAACCAGCCAAGCCGCGUGAGGGAUGAAUGUCCUGAGUAUCGUAAACCUCUUUUGUCAGGGAACAAAGUCAGGCACGUGUCCCCUGAUGUGUGUACCUGAAGAAAAAGCAUCGGCUAACUCCGUGCCAGCAGCCGCGGUAAUACGGAGGAUGCGAGCGUUAUCCGGAUUUAUUGGGUUUAAAGGGUGCGCAGGUGGUUUGUUAAGUCAGCUGUGAAAGUCCGGGGCUCAACCGUGGAACUGCAGUUGAGACUGGCAGUCUCGAGUAGGGUAGAGGUAGGCGGAAUUCGUGGUGUAGCGGUGAAAUGCAUAGAUAUCACGAAGAACUCCGAUUGCGAAGGCAGCUUGCCG
rnacentral:rRNA from 1 species